rnacentral:rRNA from 1 species
UACGUAGGGGGCAAGCGUUGUCCGGAUUUAUUGGGCGUAAAGAGCGUGUAGGCGGCCAGGUAGGUCUGCUGUGAAAACUCGAGGCUUAACCUCGAGCUGUCGGCGGAAACCAUCUGGCUAGAGUCCGGAAGAGGAGAAUGGAAUUCCCGGUGUAGCGGGUGAAAUGCGCAGAUAUCAGGAAGAACACCCGUGGCGAAGGCGGCUCUCUGGGACGGUACUGACGCUGAGACGCGAAAGCGUGGGGAGCGAACAGG